UUUUUUAAGGCAACCUAUGCUUGCCUGUAAAGGUUGACCUUUACUUUUGUAAAAAUGGUAUAUCUGUAAAAUAAAUAAAUAAAUAAAUAUAAAACUGUAUUAUAAGGUUUGAGCACUUCAUGAAGAGAAAGGAUUAGAUGGCUUUGACAUGGUUUUAAGUUGGAGAAGAAUAAUUUGAGUCCUUUGAUAUUUUUUAAUAAAAUAAAACUGAAAGAUCAUAAAGUAGUGAUGUUUUAUCCUCCUAUUAACAGCCACGUGAAUUAGGUAAUCUACUGCCAAACUUAGGAAUAGUACAAUUAGUAUGAAAAAGUAGUACUUACAUCCAUAAACAGUACCCUCACGUUUUCUUUUGCAGCACCAACCACAAAUAGUAAACAAAAUAAUAAAAAUAACACACAAAGCAAUUGGCAUAAACACAUCCAUGUUGUAGAGUUUUGAAAACACUCGGUAAUAACUUUUACGUUAAAAACAAACUAAAGAUUCAGAAAACAGUACCUACAGCUUGUAAUUUUUUCCGACGAGAAAAAGUAAAACGCUGAUUAGAAAGGUUAUUAUUUGAUAAUAUUGUUAGCUAUCUCGAUUACAAGAGCUAAUAACAAUAAUUGUCAUCUUGCGUAUUCGGUAUCUUAAUUAUUAUAUUAUUUAAACUGUAACAAAUUUUAAUAAGCAAAUACAAACAAAAUAUUUGCUAUUAUCAAAGUUUUUACAAUGAUAGAAAAUGUUGAAAA
rnacentral:lncRNA from 1 species